UUGGAGGGCACGUCUGGUGCCAGCAGCCGCGGUAAUUCCAGCUCCAAUAGCGUAUAUUAAAGUUGUUGCAGUUAAAAAGCUCGUAGUUGAAUUUUGGGUCUGGCCGGGCGGUCCGCCCUCCGGGUGAGCACUGUUCCGACGCCGGGCCUAUCCUUCUGGUGAGUCGGCAUGUCCUUUGUUGGGUGUGUCGGGGAACCAGGACCAUUACCUUGAAAAAAUUAGAGUGUUCAAAGCAGGCGUAUGCUCGGAUACAUUAGCAUGGAAUAAUGAAAUAGGACGCGUGGUGCUAUUUUGUUGGUUUCUAGAACCGCCGUAAUGAUUAAUAGGGAUAGUUGGGGGCAUUAGUAUUCAAUUGUCAGAGGUGAAAUUCUUGGAUUUAUUGAAGACUAACUUCUGCGAAAGCAUUUGCCAAGGAUGUUUUCAUUAAUCAAGAACGAAAGUUAGGGGAUCGAAGACGAUCAGAUACCGUCGUAGUCUUAACCAUAAACUAUGCCGACUAGGAAUCGGGCGAUGUUAUUCUCAUGACUCGCCCGGCGCCUUAUGGGAAACCAAAGUGUUUGGGUUC
rnacentral:rRNA from 1 species